AGAGACUAAAGCUAAACCAAGAUGGCGGGGAUGAUGUUGAAGAUGAUGAACCCGAUGGGAUCAAUGCCGUCUGUACCCGGAGUAGGGGAUGACAAGAAGGAUGAUGACGGGAUGACGAGAGAGGAACAGCAGGAACAGGAAAGGAUGAG